UUGAGCCUUGAUGUGUAGGAUAGGUGGGAGGCUUUGAAGUGUGGACGCCAGUCUGCAUGGAGCCGACCUUGAAAUACCACCCUUUAAUGUUUGAUGUUCUAACGUGGACCCGUAAUCCGGGUUGCGGACAGUGUCUGGUGGGUAGUUUGACUGGGGCGGUCUCCUCCUAAAGAGUAACGGAGGAGCACGAAGGUUGGCUAAUCCUGGUCGGACAUCAGGAGGUUAGUGCAAUGGCAUAAGCCAGCUUGACUGCGAGCGUGACGGCGCGAGCAGGUGCGAAAGCAGGUCAUAGUGAUCCGGUGGUUCUGAAUGGAAGGGCCAUCGCUCAACGGAUAAAAGGUACUCCGGGGAUAACAGGCUGAUACCGCCCAAGAGUUCAUAUCGACGGCGGUGUUUGGCACCUCGAUGUCGGCUCAUCACAUCCUGGGGCUGAAGUAGGUCCCAAGGGUAUGGCUGUUCGCCAUUUAAAGUGGUACGCGAGCUGGGUUUAGAACGUCGUGAGACAGUUCGGUCCCUAUCUGCCGUGGGCGCUGGAGAACUGAGGGGGGCUGCUCCUAGUACGAGAGGACCGGAGUGGACGCAUCACUGGUGUUCGGGUUGUCAUGCCAAUGGCACUGCCCGGUAGCUAAAUGCGGAAGAGAUAAGUGCUGAAAGCAUCUAAGCACGAAACUUGCCCCGA
rnacentral:rRNA from 1 species